rnacentral:sRNA from 10 species
CGCCGCAGCUCCUACACUCCUGCUCGUGCUCUAAACUGAAGUGCUGGGUUAAUUUUAGAAGACAUGGCGGAUUCAUGCUAUUCAGCCUCGGAAGGGUGCCAAACCACCUUCUUCUGCUGAACAGAAAUUAAGUAAAAAGGAUUCCUCCACCACAAUUUUCGACUGCAAGAAGUCUCCCAACCAUCUUAUUGUUGAUGAAGUUAUCGAUGAUGAUAAUUCCUUGGUUGCCAUGCACCCUAAUGCAAUGGACAAGCUUCAGCUUUUCUGAGGAGAUACGGUUUUAAUAGAGGGUAAGAAGAGAAGGGACACAGUUUGCAUUGUUCUUGCCGAUGAACAAUGUGAAGGACAAAAAUUUAGAAUGAUCAAGGUUGUAAGAUCCAAUCUAAGAGUACACCUUGGGAUGUUGUGUCUGUUCUUCAUCACUGUCCUUAUGUGAAGCAUGGGAACCCAGUUCAUAUCCUUCCAAUUGAUGAUACAAGUGAUGGUUUAACUAUUGACCUAGGUGUAUUUCUGCAGUCAUACUUUCUGGAAGAUUACCCACCUGUAAGAAAAGGUGACAUUUUCAUAGCUAAAGGUGCAAUAAGAACUGCUGAAUUUAAAGUAAUCGACACAGACCCUCGUGUUGUUGUACCAGAUACAAUUGUAAACUGGGAAGGAGAGCCUAUUACAGCCGUUACAAAUAUGCUACAGAGAAAGUAUUGUAGCCUGGUGAAUAUCAUGUUGUUGCACCAGAUACUAUUGUAACCUGGUGAAUAUGUCAGUGUGACUGCAAAAUACGCUAUUAGAGGAAGUAUUGAGAAGCUGGGGAUGUCAGGAUCCUGGGAGGGAGAAAAAGAAGAGAGAAAACCCUGAAAAAAUUGAAGAAGAUGAAAUUGAUGAUGUUGCUGAUAUAAAAGGCAGCACUUUGAGGAAUCAAUAAAACAUGCUCGCUGAAGUGUUAGCAAUGAGAUAUCAGGAAGUACCAGCUCUUUCCUCAGAUAUAGCAGCAAUCCCAUGUAUUUGGUUCUGGAUUUCGUUUUCCAGAAAGAAGAGAAAAUGCCACCAGAGGAGCAUCAGACCCAUUUUCUUCUGCCGCAGCUGCUGGUGAUGAUGAUGAUCUGUACAGCUGAAUUGAAACCAUUUCAUUUUGAAGCGCUUGUUACACAUGGGAUGGGGUUCUAAAGAACGGAGUUGUUGGCCAUUAAACCUUGCCCUGGAAAAUGUGAUGUUAACAUCAAAAGGUAAGGAAUCAGGAGAUUAGAAAGUUGUGUGUUUUUUUAGGACCAAACAUAUCCUGGUAAGCAGAAAAGGGUUAUUAUUGUUUUCAUGGUGAAAAAAAUUACAGAGCAGAAAACCUGAGGAUUCACCUUCUGAUUCUAUAAAUUGCUGAACCAAUGGUCAUAAUGACAAAGCUGUGCUGAAAGUGAUCCAUCAUUAGUCCGUCCUUUGCCCCUAUCUUUCGACUUGAUGACCUAUGGGGUGAUGUGGGAUCGCCUCCCCUGCUGCAUGUGGUGGACCUUUUUACCUUUAGAUUUCCUCACUAACAAAAUACAGCAUUCAUCAUGUCCUUGCGGGAUAUGUUGGAAAUCUUUGAUGUGCCUUUUCUUCUUCCCAGUUUCCCAAAAUAUAUGGCCCAUCGCACCAGAUGAUAAUCUCCCAUGAGGGCUCCAUUAGGUUGUAAAAGUCUCUGGAUUUUUUUGUCAGCUUUACCACAUGCGGCAGGUAAAUGCAAAUCAGGUGCUGAAGUAGCUAUUUAACUUGAUUUCUCUUGCUGCAUUAGGAAAUAGUAGUAGUAAUGUUGAUUUUACUGUCAGAAAACUUCCUGGAAGUUUUUCAUUUGCAUCUGAUUAGAAAAGGAAGAGACGAAAGCUGAUGCAUGGGUGUGAAUUUGCCAACUGCUGCUAAUUAAACUUAACCAAGACUGACAUGAUCAAAAGGUUGCUUGGAAUUUGGAUGCAUAACCAGUCUCCGAAGCUGAUGAGUAAGUUAUUUGAGAAAGACAGACAGCCAGCCAGCCAACCAAACGUACUGAUCGAAAGUGCAUGCAAAUUUGUAGAUUGAUUUAACAUUUGAAGGGAUGUCUCGUUUUGCUUGUAGUUGUAGCUAGAAGCUUUGUUUUUUCACAUGAUCACAUCCCCAAUAUUCCAUUAUCAAAA